GCUUCACACAGGGGUCCUUUUCAAUUUUUGAAAAUGUGGUUUUACUACUAAAUGAGUUAUAUCAGUGCAAUAAUGCACGUUGCCAAAAUGCACCACUACCACCUCCUUCAUGCAUUCAAUUUUAAAACUGCUUUUGUGUAUUCUUAACUACCAAAAACCUUAACUUUAAGAAGUAUGUGAUUAGUGCUAAUGCUAAUCAGCUAAACAAGUAGGAAAAAGAGGUAUUAUUGACUUCUCAAUUACUAAUAAACUUGCUUAUAUGUUCUGAUAAAUGGAGCCCUCACAGGUUGAAUGGACAAGAGAGUAAUUCAAAUAGAGUAAAACACUCCCUCCUUAAUUUAGAGGAUGAGAACUGAGCUGAAACUCUUAUAACAGAUAAGACAGAGCUUAGCUCUUCAGCAAAUGCUAAUUGUCAAUGCUUUCCAUAUUAGAUACAAAAAGAAAUUAUAAUGUUGUUCACACAUCUUACAGCUUCAGAGUGUUUGCAGCUCUCUUUGUUGGAACAUGUUUGUAAGGUUUCUGUUCUGCAAAGAUGCUUGUAGUUAGAACAAAAUGAACCAGCCCUUUCAGUCCAGUCUGGGCUGACAGAGUUUGAAAGAACUUGGGACUCAUUUGCGGUCUGAAGAAAUACCUAAAUAGUCAGAUUUUCAGAAGACUGCUAGUACAGCAAGGAAAGUACGACUUCUGUAUAGACAGUGAGAAAAAACUGGACACAUAAGUAUUUCAAAGCCUGAAUUGACUUCUCUUUCCCAUAUCAGUUUUGGAGAUUUCCCUCCUUACCCACGAAAACUGUUGUCUUAAUAAAUAAAAUUGAGAAAAAGGAAUACUUUAAAACUCUGAAGGUAAGUAUUCAGACUUAUGUCUUCAGAACUUAGCAUUUGCAUGGCUUCUCAAGUAGCAGAAAGUAAGACAGCAGUCACCCCAGAAUCUGUUCUUUUCUGCAUGUUGUGAGUUCCUUUCUUUGGGUUACACUGACCUUUAAGAUCACAUGUGAAAGGGUUCUAUAAAUCCUAUUUGUGGGUGGCUGCUAGUAUAAGAUCAAAAAGAAAAUCAAUGUCCAAUAUAGAUUUUACUUCUGUCUGAUUUCUUUGUCCAAAGAAGUGAUAAUUAAAGUGAUGUGUGCUUUAGGUUUCUACACUAAUCUGAAUGCUGAAAUUAGGAGAACCAAUCUCUUUAGUUUUGAAUGCAACCUGGUACGUUACUGUUUCUAUGCUGUUUAUUAA